UCGCCCCCACCGAUAAGGUAGCCACGAGAGGCUGUCUUUCUCAUAACGAGAAUAGGUGGGGGUGUUUUA
rnacentral:ncRNA from 12 species